rnacentral:rRNA from 1 species
ACGCUGAAGAGAGGAGCUUGCUCUUCUUGGAUGAGUUGCGAACGGGUGAGUAACGCGUAGGUAACCUGCCUUGUAGCGGGGGAUAACUAUUGGAAACGAUAGCUAAUACCGCAUAACAAUGGAUGACACAUGUCAUUUAUUUGAAAGGGGCAAUUGCUCCACUACAAGAUGGACCUGCGUUGUAUUAGCUAGUAGGUGAGGUAAUGGCUCACCUAGGCGACGAUACAUAGCCGACCUGAGAGGGUGAUCGGCCACACUGGGACUGAGACACGGCCCAGACUCCUACGGGAGGCAGCAGUAGGGAAUCUUCGGCAAUGGGGGCAACCCUGACCGAGCAACGCCGCGUGAGUGAAGAAGGUUUUCGGAUCGUAAAGCUCUGUUGUAAGUCAAGAACGGGUGUGAGAGUGGAAAGUUCACACUGUGACGGUAGCUUACCAGAAAGGGACGGCUAACUACGUGCCAGCAGCCGCGGUAAUACGUAGGUCCCGAGCGUUGUCCGGAUUUAUUGGGCGUAAAGCGAGCGCAGGCGGUUUGAUAAGUCUGAAGUUAAAGGCUGUGGCUCAACCAUAGUUCGCUUUGGAAACUGUCAAACUUGAGUGCAGAAGGGGAGAGUGGAAUUCCAUGUGUAGCGGUGAAAUGCGUAGAUAUAUGGAGGAACACCGGUGGCGAAAGCGGCUCUCUGGUCUGUAACUGACGCUGAGGCUCGAAAGCGUGGGGAGCGAACAGGAUUAGAUACCCUGGUAGUCCACGCCGUAAACGAUGAGUGCUAGGUGUUGGAUCCUUUCCGGGAUUCAGUGCCGCAGCUAACGCAUUAAGCACUCCGCCUGGGGAGUACGACCGCAAGGUUGAAACUCAAAGGAAUUGACGGGGGCCCGCACAAGCGGUGGAGCAUGUGGUUUAAUUCGAAGCAACGCGAAGAACCUUACCAGGUCUUGACAUCCCGAUGCUAUUUCUAGAGAUAGAAAGUUACUUCGGUACAUCGGUGACAGGUGGUGCAUGGUUGUCGUCAGCUCGUGUCGUGAGAUGUUGGGUUAAGUCCCGCAACGAGCGCAACCCUUAUUGUUAGUUGCCAUCAUUCAGUUGGGCACUCUAGCGAGACUGCCGGUAAUAAACCGGAGGAAGGUGGGGAUGACGUCAAAUCAUCAUGCCCCUUAUGACCUGGGCUACACACGUGCUACAAUGGUUGGUACAACGAGUUGCGAGUCGGUGACGGCGAGCUAAUCUCUUAAAGCCAAUCUCAGUUCGGAUUGUAGGCUGCAACUCGCCUACAUGAAGUCGGAAUCGCUAGUAAUCGCGGAUCAGCACGCCGCGGUGAAUACGUUCCCGGGCCUUGUACACACCGCCCGUCACACCACGAGAGUUUGUAACACCCGAAGUCGGUGAGGUAACCUUUUGGAGCCAGCCGCCUAA